rnacentral:tRNA from 1 species
UAUAAGGUGUCCGAGAUUAGGUGUUGGUUUGUAAAACCAAUUACGAGGUGUUCCUCUCUUAUAA